AUGCAGUGCUGUUCUCAAGGUAAAAGGAAAGUGUGGGCUACAUUUCAGUCCCAUCAUGCCAGGAGAAUAAUGUAACGUGUUUUUUCUUUCUCUUGGAUGAGUGCUUUAAUUACUGAGCUAUUAAAUGAAUGACAAAUUGUGGCACAAGCCUUCACGAGGCUUGUGUCACAGGAAGUGGCUGUGAACACCAGCAAGUACUGUGGUGACAAAUUGGCAAGACAUGUUCCAGAAAACCCUUCCAGAAAAGCCCUCUGGGGAGACACAGGUCAGCCCACAAAUCUGAAACAAGACAGAAUUACAUAGAGUUGCUUGUAUGAGAAAAGACUGACCUCAUCAGACACCUACCACUAGGAAAGCCCUGGCUGCGAGUACCAGGGUACAGAAGGUGAAGGUGGGGAUGGAAAAGCAUAUCAAGCAAAAUGUGGAUAGAGUCAGCAGUAAAAGAAAAAAUGCAUGCUGUCCUCUACUGUGCAAAGCAAGCA